rnacentral:lncRNA from 1 species
CUAGCACACGGCCUAAGCGCGCCAGCGCCUCCGCCGCCGGCUACGACUAUGCGUCCGCCCCCGGCCCGCCCCCCGACACGCCCCCAGCUCGCGGCUGCCCCCAGACUCCGCCUCCACCCAGGGCGGGGCCCGGGCCUAGAGGCCGGAUCCUGGAAUCGCGUCCGUUCAGGAUAACCCCUCUCCGGUCUUGAUGACCCCAAAUUGGCUCCUCCUGGAUGGCUGGGGCAGGUAGCCCGGCGCCUGUCCUCGCGAUGGCAUCGGAGAGUCCCCAGGGACCCCGUCUGAACGUAGCUGAUCAAGUGGGCCCCCCUCUGAGCUUUGAACGGAUGUUUACCAGACAUUUCUCUGCUGGAUCUGACCCAGGACAGGUCUUAAAGGGACAGCACCCACUGUGUCCCUGCUCCCAUCUGCUUUCAAGGUCUGCUGGCAAGACUGAGUGGAUAAGACAUCCACAGCUGGUCCUAGAUGCUGGUCCUGAGCUGAUGGUCCAUCUGACGUGUCCUCAGGAGAGAAUCUGAAUAGGAGAGAGACCUAGAGAAGUAUGACUGAGCCCUGUGUAUACACAAGCCCCACACAGAAGCACGUCUGCAUUUCUUUGCAUGAGGGCACUGAGUCUUUGCCAAGUAGCUCAAGGCCAGUGUCUCAGGCUACAUCUCUAGUGCUGGGAGACUCUUGUGUGUCACUCGUGGCUGAUAGAAGCAGGAGAGUCCGUUAUGCCGGGUUCUCAAAUCCCCAAACAGACCACCCAAGGUGACACUUCCAGUGUAAAAAAACAAAGGUUUCUUUUUAUUGUUUGAGCUAGCAGGGACUUCUAUGCUUAAAAGAGGCAGAAGUACCCAACAAUAACAGGGGUAGGGGUGGGGUGGAGGGGUGGGAGGUGGCCAAGGCUGAGAGCCACAAGUUUACAAAGUUUCCAUGGUUACUCAGGGUCUUAUAAAGUACAAGGUAAAGCAAAAACUGUAUUUCUAGGCAAGAUACAUUUAGGACAGGGGCAUGGGGAGGAAAGGGCAUGGAGUCAGGAGUCUGUCAAUUAUCCCCUGGGCUGGACAUCUUUACAACCAGCAGGGGAUUUUUCACAAGGCAAUCAAUGGCUAUCUGGUUAACACAGGUGGUGGCAGGUUACUCCCCCCCUUUUCUCCUGGAAUGGGGCUCAGGUACCUAAUCACCGCACCCCACUCCUGACACUCCCAGUUAAGGGAUCAAAUUCCUCUCUACCAUUAGAAGUUCCCUUUUUCUCUGCAUAGAUUCAGCGGCCCAGGUUUUUAAACUUUUAAUCAUUUUAAUUUUUGGUCCUUUUAGAGUCCAGUUCAGACCCCCCAACUCUGAACUGUGGGGUUUGGGGUCAUAUCCCAGUCUGUAAAGCAGAAAUGCUCUGAAGAGGGCAUGUGUGGGCCUUGAGGGGUUUGUUUUCAGCCCUCCCAAUGGUACUACUUCCAGAGAGCAGCUUUAUCCUCCUAGCUGAAAAGAAAAGGGCCUCAGGGCUGGGGUGUGAUGGUUCAGUAAAUAAAAUGUCCUUGGCAACAUGAGGGCCUGAGUUC